UGGGAAUCAGCCAAUACAGGACAAUAAUUUAGGGAAGAAAGGAGGGGCCUGCUGUCAUGAUUCCUCAGGUUUUUUUCUGUUCCUUCCUGUGAGGAUGCCUUCCUGAAGAUCCAGCAACUUGCUCUUCCAAGAAUGAAUACAGUACCUGGUGUCAGAAGUAUGACCGAGGUGACGAUCAAGGAGCAGAUGACCAGAAUGACAAGCAGUGCAAUCGCUAUUCCUUUCCAAUUCCUUUGUGGAGGGUUACUCCCCACCAGUUCCUAAAAAGAGCAACAACAAAGAAAAUCCCAGUGAGUGAAAUAAGGAAAUAAAAGAAGCCAAAUAGACAUAUUUCAUUUAAAUCAAUAACCAAGACACAAAACAGUGAAAGAGGCAUCUUCCCAUCCUCGAAGCUACUAUUA